GCGAAAGUGGCGGAACUGGCAGACGCGCAGGACUCAGGAUCCUGUGGGGUAACACCCGUGGGGGUUCAACUCCCCCCUUUCGCACUA
rnacentral:tRNA from 2 species